GAUGAACGCUGGCGGCGUGCCUAACACAUGCAAGUCGAGCGAACAGACCAGGAGCUUGCUCCUCUGACGUUAGCGGCGGACGGGAGAGUAACAUGUGGAUAACCUACCUAUCAGACUGGGAUAAUCACGGGAAACCGGAGCUAAUACCGGAUAAUAUAUUGAACCGCAUUGGUCAAUAGUGAAAUUCGGUUGUGCUGUCACUUAUAGAUGGAUCCGCGCCGCAUUAGCUAGUUGUUAAGGUAAAGGCUUAUCAAGGCUAGGAUGCGUAGCCGACCUGAGAGGGUGGUCGGCCACACUGGAACGGAGACACGGUCCAGACUCCUACGGGAGGCAGCAGUAGGGAAUCUUCCGCAAUGGGGGAAAGCCUGACGGAGCAACGCCGCGUGAGUGAUGAAGGUCUUCGGAUCGUAAAGCUCUGUUAUUAGGGGAGAACAAAUGUGUAAGUAACUAUGCACGUCUUGACGGUACCUAGUCAAAAAGCCCCGGCUAACUACGUG
rnacentral:rRNA from 1 species